rnacentral:rRNA from 1 species
UAAUACAUCGGAACGUGUCUUCUAGUGGGGGAUAACUGCCCGAAAGGGCAGCUAAUACCGCAUGAGACCUGAGGGUGAAAGCGGGGGAUCGCAAGACCUCGCGCUGGAAGAGCGGCCGAUAUCAGAUUAGGUAGUUGGUGAGGUAAAGGCUCACCAAGCCGACGAUCUGUAGCUGGUCUGAGAGGACGACCAGCCACACUGGGACUGAGACACGGCCCAG